rnacentral:lncRNA from 1 species
UUUUGUUUUUGCUUUUUUUUUAAAGGAAGGAAUCUAGAGAAUUGAAUAUUUCCAUGGAUUAAUUACUUCGACAAACAUAAAUGAAAUUUUGGGAAACAUAACUAAAAACUGAGAAUAAUAUCCAAUGAAAUAAACCAGUGUAUAUAAUACAAAACAACAACCGCAACCGUUAAAAAAAAACAACAACAACCGUUCAAACUGCCAAUGAAUUAGAUAUCGAAGGGUCACUCACUCACUCCAAUAGAGAGACUUCCAGUUUAAU